rnacentral:rRNA from 1 species
AGAGUUUGAUCCUGGCUCAGGACGAACGCUGGCGGCGUGCCUAACACAUGCAAGUCGAACGAAGUAUAUUUUCGGAUAUGCUUAGUGGCGGGCGGGUGAGUAACGCGUGAACAAUCUGCCCUGUACACAGGAAUAGCCUCGGGAAACUGGGAUUAAAACCGGAUAACACUUUCUGGCCGCAUGGCUGGGAAGUCAAAUUGAUUUAGAGGUACAGGAUGAGUUCGCGUCUGAUUAGCUAGUUGGUGAGGUAACGGCUCACCAAGGCGACGAUCAGUAGCCGGCCUGAGAGGGUGAACGGCCACACUGGAACUGAGACACGGUCCAGACUCCUACGGGAGGCAGCAGUGGGGAAUAUUGCACAAUGGAGGAAACUCUGAUGCAGCGACGCCGCGUGAGUGAAGAAGGUCUUCGGAUCGUAAAACUCUGUCCUUGGUGACGAAAAAAAUGACGGUAGCCAAGGAGGAAGCCCCGGCUAACUACGUGCCAGCAGCCGCGGUAAUACGUAGGGGGCGAGCGUUGUCCGGAUUUACUGGGCGUAAAGGGUGAGUAGGCGGUAAUAUGUGUCAGAUGUAAAAGGCUAUGGCUUAACCAUAGUUGGCAUUUGAAACUGUAUUACUUGAGUGCAGGAGAGGUAAGUGGAAUUCCUAGUGUAGCGGUGAAAUGCGUAGAUAUUAGGAGGAACACCAGUGGCGAAGGCGACUUACUGGACUGUAACUGACGCUGAGUCACGAAAGCGUGGGUAGCAAACAGGAUUAGAUACCCUGGUAGUCCACGCUGUAAACGAUGAGUGCUAGGUGUUGGGUAGCGAUAUUCNNNNCCGAAGUAAACACAAUAAGCACUCCGCCUGGGGAGUACGGUCGCAAGACUGAAACU